rnacentral:rRNA from 1 species
AACGAACGUUAGCGGCGCGCUUAACACAUGCAAGUCGAGCGAGAGCCCUUUGCUUCGGCAGAGGUAGUAAAGCGGCGCACGGGUGAGUAUCACGUGGGAAACCUACCCUCCGGCUGGGGAACAACUCCGGGAAACCGGGGCUAAUUCCGCGUACGACGCCAGGUUGAAAUACCUGGCGGGAUAGGAGUAAUCCGACGGAGGAUGGGCCCGCGGCCUAUCAGCUUGAUGGUGAGGUAAUGGCUCACCAUGGCUAUGACGGGUAGCUGGCUUUAGAGAGUGACCAGCCACACUGGGACUGAGACACGGCCCAGACUCCUACGGGAGGCAGCAGUGGGGAAUCUUGCGCAAUGGGCGAAAGCCUGACGCAGCGACGCCGCGUGGGUGAUGGAGGCCUUCGGGUCGUAAAGCCCUGUGGGGAGGGAAGAAGCCUUCGGGCUGACGGUACCUCCUUAGCAAGCACCGGCUAACUACGUG